GCGAUAAGCAUGUCGUAUAGUUUAAUUAAAAUUAAGUUUAGAAUAUAAGAAAAAUUUUCGGCUGCAGUGCUCCCUUUUGUAAACAUAGAAGCGAGGAUGGAUUUAAACUUGACCUUUUCCACUAGAACGAAGAGAAGGACUCUCAGAGUGGAUAAUAAAUUUUAGACGCGACGUUUUUCUACAGAGCGUCUCACGUUAACCCACGCAAAUAAAAAAGACAUGUUAAAAUCUCUCAUAUUUGCCGCCUUGAUUAUCCAAGAUGGAGAAAUUAAGCGGUGGGUUAUGAUUAGUUCGCUUUUUUUACUUGAAGGUGGCUAGACCAUGUAUCAGGGAUGAGCAGUUACGCGUAACCUCAUUUUUUGGAAUUUCUGGUACAGGCAUUCAUAGGAUUUAUUUUUCCAAUGCCAAUAGUUUAAAUUAAAAAAUUAUAAUGUCAACUAAACUGAAACAGAGCAAACACAAAGAUACUUCGGGCUGCCAUAAGUUCCAUGGGAUGAGAUUAAUAUCAAACGUAUACAAGUAAAUAAAAAUAAUGAAAAUCAUCUAAAUGGAACGCAAUGUUUUUUUUUGCAUCAUAAUAUUGAAAAAUGUUGCUUGUAUGCAUCUUCUGGGAAACAGAAGGAGGCCGCAAUGGAUGAAAUUGUAGUAAAUCAUAUCAUUAAAGGUACCAUGGAAAUCGUAGACGCUAAUAGUAUAGUAGCGACUGGUACAAUGGCGGAAUCGACGUCACGAUUCUUGCGGACGCUGCAGUUUUUCGUUCGCUUACGCAGAGCUGCGAGCAGAGCAUCAGGGUUGCGGAGUGAUGCGUCACUCGAGGUUUUCUACGUGCAUUACCUAAAUGAAGUAAUUUACGUAGAAAACUUUAGAAAACCAGUCAAUUAUAUGACAAAGAUGGCGUUUGUCUGUUUUGAACUUUUGAAUUUUCUAGCACGUGACAUAACCUCCUUCAAACCUUAAUUAGUUUGAGGAUUCUAGAUAUUAAACUAACAAACGGUUAAAAUGAUGAGAAAGAAGAUUUCUGCGAGGAUUGCAAAUAUGCCAUGGAAAACCCUAAGGGUACCUCUUAACGGAGGCCUGUUUUGAAUAAAUCGUGGAAUUAAUAUUUUUCAGAGGACUCGUUUCUAGCUGCUUUGUUGGUUUAUGGCAAAUUUGAUUGGUUGAGAACCUAAAUACGAAUUCGAUGUGUCAAAUUAAUUCAUCAGUUCAUUGACAUUCGACCUCCGUGAAAAAGUACCCUAAGUUUUGAGAGAGUGAAAGCAACAUUUAACAAUAUAGACAACAGUGUAGUUAAAUGCCUAUUUUGCGAUAAACUAUUGAAAACAGUGUUUAUAAACGCCAUCUAGGUCAUGGGUAUGUAAACAGUGUUGAAUUAUUAUUAAUUUUUGCAAUUAUAUUACAUUAUUAUUAUAUAUUAUAUUUAUUAUAAUACUUCAAUUAUAUUCAA